GCUUUCAACAUCCCCGUUCCAGUUCGAGCGGAUCGCGUGCCCGGCACGCUGGCUCGUCCGUGGAGCUGAAGGC
rnacentral:sRNA from 1 species